AUUUAUAGAAUGGCUGCAGAUUUUCCUCUGUUCAUCUUCAACUCUUGUACUCCUUUGCCUCAGUUUCCCCACCUGUAAACUGCAGGGGCGGGAUGAUAAAUCCUUGGAGUGUCCUUGCCCCAACACCCAGAGCAAGUGACAAACGUACGUCAAUGCGGGGUACCCACUCAUCUUCUUACAGCCUCCCAUGUGCCCCGAGAACGGGCAUGGAGCUAUCACGUGAUUCCCCCUUCCAAAACGCUCCUCCACUGGGCUGCCUCCCAGAAAGCUCAGUGGUCUUGGCACAAUCACAGAAAUUUCGUGCUGUAAGGGACCUCAAGAUCGGGUCCUGCCCAUCUCUGUUAGCUUGAAGAGCCAGUUGUUAAAUAUCCAAAAGUGUCAAGCAGGAGCCCAAUGUCAGAGAAGAUGUUCCCACCAGCGAGACGGUGGACGUCGGCCUCGCCGUGCAGCGUCGGACGCAGGCCCAAGGCACGGAGCCAGCUGGAACUGCAUCUGGGGCGGGCCGAGAGGCAAACAGCGGCCGGGCGUGCCGAGGGCCGAGCGGACAAAGGCCGUGAGUCACCUCGCUCCCGGCAGGGCGGGGUGUUCAGCCUUCACGCAGGCUGGCUGUCCCCUCCCAGACACCCAAGCACCUGGCAGAGAGUCUCCACUCCGCCCCGGCUGGGCUGCCCGAACACAGCCGAUGCACCGUCUCAGCGGGAACUGAGAACAAGGAUGGUCACGGGGCACCGAGGAGCCAGGCGGGGACUCGAGAGAUCCGGAUUCAGUUCCAGACUACGCAGCACAAUUCACUUCCUCUCCGUGCCUCAGUGUCCCUCAUCUGUCCUGCAAGAGCCCCAAGGUGCUAGGAGCUGUACACAGACCAGGGGCCCUGCCCCAGCCAGCUUGCAAUCAAAUGGGAGUAGCAGAUUCCUAGAUGUUCAGCCAGUCCCACUUCCACAUACCACAGGCCAGAGAACUGCCCCCAGCAUGCAGCCCAUAUCUGAUGGCUGAGCUAGCACAGAAAGCCGUUCCAUCCAGAUUGAGUCCGGGUGACAGAGAUGGGUGAGCUGUUUCUGUGGUUAACUCCCCACCAUGUUAAAAAUCUACAGCCUGAAACGUAUCCAGCUGCAGCCUCCUGCCCUCGCAUCAACAGUAGUAAACUAGAGAAACGCCAAACUCAUACUGAACUGAGAGUCCACCGAGGCCCGAUGUCCUGAUUUUAUAGGGACAGGCCCAAUAUCUGGGGGUCUGUCUUACCUUGACCAUGUCUCCUUUAGAUCUUGUCUUCAGCAGAAGGGGUGUGGGGCCCAUCUGAGGAAUCAGGAGUCAGGGAUUAGAUUGUAAAAUCUCCCCGUCCCCUUUCACACAAAUCUGCCUUGCCCGGCUGAAGGGGACUCCAAGGGCUUUUCGGCGGCCCCACGAGGGGAAGAGAAAAGCGUCAGAUGCACAAGGACAUCCAGG
rnacentral:lncRNA from 1 species